AGAACGAACGCUGGCGGCAUGCCUAACACAUGCAAGUCGAACGGACGUCUUCGGACGUUAGUGGCGCACGGGUGCGUAACGCGUGGGAAUCUGCCCUUAGGUUCGGAAUAACUCAGGGAAACUUGAGCUAAUACCGUAUAAUGACUUCGGUCCAAAGAUUUAUCGCCUAGGGAUGAGCCCGCGUAGGAUUAGCUUGUUGGUGAGGUAAAGGCUCACCAAGGCGACGAUCCUUAGCUGGUCUGAGAGGAUGAUCAGCCACACGUGGGACUGAGACACGGCCCAGACCUCCUACGGGAGCAGCGAGGUGGGGAAUAGUUGGACGAAGUGGGACGAAAGCCGUGAUCCAGCAAUGCCGCGUGAGUGAUGAAGGCGUUAGGUU
rnacentral:rRNA from 1 species